UGUAAAGGGGGGACCGGACCCCAUAAAUGGAAUUACAACCCACCGCCUACACUUCAGCCACCUUUAC
rnacentral:tRNA from 1 species